rnacentral:lncRNA from 1 species
CCCCACUCUCGCGUCUCUAUCUUGCAUCUGGAGCAUCUGAACAUCUCUUGCUCCUGUAUUACCAAAAGUUAUACGAUCAUCACAAGAAAAAUACAAACACAAACACAAACAAAUAUGGAUAAGCUACCAUAGAACAACAAGUAACAAUAAAUUAUGUACACAAAAAGCUAACACAACUUAAUAACAAAUCAAUCAUUUACAGUGUUGUCCUACUAAUAGAAUUAUUUAUACCAUGAUCAUCAUCAACAUCCUCAUUAACUAUAUCAUGACUAUACCAUCAAUGCCAUCCUUACCAACAUUGUCUCCAAACACAUCGUCACUACAAAUCAUUAUCACAUGUACCUCCAUCAAAACUAACCUCAUCAUGAAUCAUUCAUCAUGAAAAACACCAUGAGUCUCCACAAUACUAUAACUCCAUAGUGAAAGGAAUCAGUCAUACUCUUGUACCCUACCUCACAAACUUGUAGCCUCCCCUAUAAGUCCCCUAUGGUAUGCUCGAGUAGUCUCGCCAUCUUGGCUAAGGAACAUGUUUCCUACCACACAAGGACAAGGCAAACAUCAUCACCCCUAUACAAAGAAGGUUCAAUACCCGAACCCAUUUUCGCACACAAGGGCAAAGGGAAUCGUUAUCUCGUAUAAAACAAACGAUAAUCUUAGACUUUACUAGGUACAACAAGUGGACUUUUCCUUACUUUUAUGUUCAUCAACCACAUAUUUAAGUACAUUCCAAUAUCAAUAAAAUUUCUUCAUAUACCUAAAUACAACAAUCAUUAUCAUUCUCUCCCUAAUACUAUACAUUCAUCAUUAUUUAAAGUCUCAUUUAAAACCCCACAUACUUAACAUGAACCCCAUGUGAGUUCCACUCCAAGUUACAAAAUAAAUAAAUAUCACUUAAUAACAAACAAAAUAAUAAAUCAUUUAUUAUUCUAAUUAAUAAUUGCAACUUCAUUAUUUUCCUCUUUAAACCCAAUUAAUAUUUAUUUUCAAUUUAAUCAGAGGUUAAUUAAUUAAUUUUAUUUUCCAUUAUUUUAAUUUUAGAGACAGAAGUUUUUAAUUUAAAUUCUCUUUAUUUCGUUCUUAUUUUUAUUUUAGGGGUUCCUUUUCAAAUCUUUGCAACCAUGGUUCUCACAGCCCAAAAGUCCAACCCAAUUCAAAACAUAACUCGGCCCAAGGACUUCACGGGCCAGUCGCCACAACACCCAAGGCCACACCCAUCAGCACCUCCAUUGACACCGCUUGUGCAACCAACAACAAUCACCAUCAUGAGAAAGAGCUCUCCAAUGCGAAUCAAAGGAAAACCCAAAACACAAACUCAGAACCACACAAAAUCGAAAAUGAACUCCAUAUUCACAAAACGCAAAAACAGAACAAGCUCAAAAACCCCAAUUUCAAUCAUCUCAAUUCUAAUUACAUUAGAGAAAUCCCUGAUUUGCAAGAACACAUUACAUACCCUAACCUCUAAUUCGUGAGACCCAAACCUGAAGAGAAGAUUCAAAAGGAGACACCCAAAAUCGCAACAAUCAGGAAACCCACUUUCAACAUCGAUUCCAUACGCGAAAACUCAUUCAAGCCCUAGUCACCACAAAGAUGCCUUUAAACGAAACCCUCGUCGCGAAGUCGCCUGAAAUCAAGCUCUUGUUGAGACUCCUCUUCUUUACCACGAGAAAGGAGUUUUCUCCUGGUCCGACGAAACUCCACUAGGCCAAAUGAAGAAGAAAUGAAGAACGCUCCCUGAGUCGUGUCAUCGGUGCUCCUCCGGCUACGCUCUCGUCGCACCCUCGUCGCGCCAUCGCUUUGCCAUCACUGUCGUGAGAUCGUUGCCUCUGCUCAAGACACAGAUCAUCCUCGGCCCCAAUGUUGGGUCGUCUACGGUGGAGAGAAAGACAGAAACUUCGAGCAUCUAGCUUGAGUGUGAUGAUGAAGAAAGAGAAAGGACAAAAUGAGGGCAACUUGUGUUUGCCCUUCAAAAGGGAUAGAGUGGUUCAUCACCU